CAGCGUACGGCUCAGUAACACGUAGUCAACCUGCCCUGGAGACGUGGACAAACCCGGGAAACUGGGGCCUAUCCAUGAUAGAUGACCUCAUCUGGAAGGAGGGGUCGUCGAAAAGGGCGCACGGGUAUGCUCUGUGCGAACCGCUCCAGGAUGGGACUGCGGCCGAUCAGGCUGUUGGCGGGGUAAUGGCCCACCAAACCUGUAACCGGUACGGGCUUUGAGAGAAGGAGCCCGGAGAUGGACACUGAGACAAGGGUCCAGGCCCUACGGGGCGCAUCAGGCGCGAAAACUUCGCAAUGCGCGAAAGCGUGACGAGGCUAGUCCGAGUGCUUCCUGCUAAAGGGAGCUUUUCUCGGCUGUAAAUAGGCCGGGGAAUAAGGGGAGGGCAAGUCUGGUGUCAGCCGCCGCGGUAAUACCAGCUCCUCGAGUGGUCGGGACGAUUAUUGGGCCUAAAGCACCCGUAGCCGGUUCCGUAAGUCCUCUGUUAAAUCCAGUCGCUCAACGGCUGGCCUGCAGAGGAUACUGUGGGACUAGGAGGCGGGAGAGGCGGACGGUACUCCGCGUGUAGGGGUAAAAUCCUUUGAUCCGCGGAAGA
rnacentral:rRNA from 1 species